AACGAACGCUGGCGGCAUGCCUAACACAUGCAAGUCGAACGCUCCGCAAGGGGAGUGGCGAACGGGUGAGUAACGCGUGGGAACCUGCCCAGUAGUUGGGGAUAACCGCGGGAAACUGCGGCUAAUACCGAAUACGCCCUAAGGGGGAAAGAUUUAUCGCUAUUGGAGGGGCCCGCGUCGGAUUAGCUGGUUGGUGAGGUAACGGCUCACCAAGGCGACGAUCCGUAGCUGGUCUGAGAGGAUGAUCAGCCACACUGGGACUUAGACACGGCCCAGACUCCUACGGGAGGCAGCAGUGGGGAAUAUUGGACAAUGGGGCAACCCUGAUCCAGCAAUGCCGCGUGAGUGAUGAAGGCCUUAGGGUU
rnacentral:rRNA from 1 species